CCUACGGGAGGCAGCAGUGAGGAAUAUUGGUCAAUGGGCGGGAGCCUGAACCAGCCAAGUCGCGUGAGGGAAGACGGUCCUAUGGAUUGUAAACCUCUUUAGGCGGGGAGCAAUGCCGGGCACGCGUGCCCGGAGGGAGAGUACCCGCAGAAUAAGCAUCGGCUAACUCCGUGCCAGCAGCCGCGGUAAUACGGAGGAUGCGAGCGUUAUCCGGAUUUAUUGGGUUUAAAGGGUGCGUAGGCGGAUUUUUAAGUCAGCGGUAAAAUGUCCGGGCUCAACCCGGGCCGGCCGUUGAAACUGGGGAUCUUGAGUGGGCGAGAAGUAUGCGGAAUGCGUGGUGUAGCGGUGAAAUGCAUAGAUAUCACGCAGAACUCCGAUUGCGAAGGCAGCAUACCGGCGCCCGACUGACGCUGAGGCACGAAAGCGUGGGGAUCGAACAGGAUUAGAUACCCCAGUAGUC
rnacentral:rRNA from 1 species